GGCUCAGAUUGAACGCUGGCGGAAUGCUUUACACAUGCAAGUCGAACGGUAGAGGGGGCAACCCCUUGAGAGUGGCGAACGGGUGAGUAAUAUAUCGGAACGUGCCCAGUCGUGGGGGAUAACGUAGCGAAAGCUACGCUAAUACCGCAUACGAUCUACGGAUGAAAGCGGGGGAUCGCAAGACCUCGCGCGAUUGGAGCGGCCGAUAUCAGAUUAGGUAGUUGGUGAGGUAAAGGCUCACCAAGCCGACGAUCUGUAGCUGGUCUGAGAGGACGACCAGCCACACUGGGACUGAGACACGGCCCAGACUCCUACGGGAGGCAGCAGUGGGGAAUUUUGGACAAUGGGCGCAAGCCUGAUCCAGCAAUGCCGCGUGCAGGAUGAAGGCCUUCGGGUUGUAAACUGCUUUUGUACGGAACGAAACGGUGAGCUCUAAUACAGUUUGCUAAUGACGGUACCGUAAGAAUAAGCACCGGCUAACUACGUG
rnacentral:rRNA from 1 species